rnacentral:misc_RNA from 1 species
GUGAAUCAUCAAAUCUUUGAACGCAAAUUGCACUCUCUUCGGAGAGUAUGCCUGUUUGAGGGUCAGCCUAAAAAAAAUCGACGUAGUCGCUGUUUCGCGGUGACAUUCGUCGGAAAUUGGGUCAUAUUAAACCUUUUGGUUUUAAGCGGCUUAAAAUUUUCUUUACGCUUCGACGAAUGUUUUUAAGAUUUUACUUCUUACACACGUUUAAGGUAUCGAUCUUUAUCAGACGUGGCCGUUGCAUCGGAUCGCGACCAGAAAUAUUU